AGUGUUGUGGUGAUAAUUCGGACUGCAGCAAUGUUUGGAUCCCGAAUGUUGCAGCGGAAAGUUUAGUGAACCUUAACGCUUAGAGGAAGGAGAAGUCGUAACAAGGUUUCCGUAGGUGAACCUGCGGAAGGAUCAUUCGCACACAAAUCCAAUUACCAUUCACUUGUGAACAAUCUUGGUGAGUGCCAACGUGAGGGUGUCCCAGUUGGGGGCUUUCAGGUUGGUUCUCGAGGGCAGUCGGGGGGUGAGUUCGACUUUAUUCACGAGCUGCCUUCCACUGCCAUCGCUCAGCGCUCGGCUGUGUUUACAUUUCUUGUCUGUGGGAGCGCGUGCAGCACGUUGUGUCUACACAACUUUCAGCGAUGGAUGUCUCGGUUCGAUCAACGAUGAAGGGCGCAGCGAAGUGCGAUAAGCAUUGUGAAUUGCAGAAUUCCGUGAACCGACAGAGACUUGAACGCAUAUUGUGCUUUCGGGUUAUCCCUGAAAGCACGCCUGCUUCAGUGUCUACGCUUUGUCUUCCACCAGGCGCGCUGCGUAAGCAUCAGCGUUUGAUGAUUGUUCGCCGUGCCUCAAGAUGCGCGCUCUUCUUUUGUGGGGAAUGCAGGUGCUCUUGAGGCAUUUGAUUCACACGGCCCCGCUGCAACAGCCAGCUUGCCAAGCGUUAUUCGCGCAUUUUGGUUGAGCGGUCUGUAGCGAAGGUUGGGUGCUUGAGUUGUGGCAGGGGUUAUGCGUGGUGCUUGGUGUGUUGCAGCAUUGUCACCACUGUUGCUUUUGCGCUUCUUGAGCGUUAUUAGGCCGAUGUUGAGCCAUCAAGACAUGAAGUUAGGUUGGCAAACCCGCCGAAUUUAAGCAUAUAAGUAAGCGGAGGAUAAGAAACUAAAUAGAUUCCCUUAGUAUGCG
rnacentral:rRNA from 1 species